AAAGACAGUUUUAUUCUGGAUAACUUUUCUCCUUCUGCCUUACUGCUCUGGCUAUAACCUCCAGUACUAUGUUGAAAAGAUGUGGAGAGAGUGGGCAUCCUUGUUCUGAUCUUAUGGAGAAAGCAUUUAGUAUUUCAUGUUAAGUGUGAUGUUUAGCCGUAGGUUUUUCCUAGAUGCCCUUUAUCAGGCUGCGGAAGUUUUUGUUCUAUUAUGUGCUGAGUUUUUUACUGUUUUUUAAUCAGGAAGGGAUGUUGGAUUUUGUCAGCUGCUUUUUCUGCAUCUGUUGAUACGAUAUGGUUUACUUUUUCAGUCUGUUACUAUGAUGAAUUACAUGGAUUGACUUCAGGAUAUUAAACCAGCUUUGGAUUCACUGAUUUUCUGUAUUGGUUUUCUGUAUUGGUUUCCUGUUUUCUGUUCCACUGAUUUUCACUCUGAUACUCACUGUGUUUCAUUUAUUUUGCUUACCUUAGGUUUAAUUCUUCUUUGUCCAGUGUUUAAUUUGGAAGCUGAUGUUAUUAAUUCGAGGCCUUUCUUCUUUUCUAAUAUAGGUGCUUAGUAC
rnacentral:lncRNA from 1 species